UGCAGUAGGGAAAGAGCUUCGGUAGGGCACUGUUGUCGAGAAACAAGAGCGUCACAACGCAAAUCAUAGCAAAAAAAAAGGAGAGAAAGGAGCUCUCUGUAAAGAGGAAUCCGAUUUUAUUGAUUGAAUAAUUUUUAGGUACAAGAGAAAGAGAAAAAGUUGCAACAAAUGAAAAGUACAAAAUUAGAGGUUUCGGACCUCUGGAGCAGAAGUGGAGAAGCUCGACACCCCCAGAAGGUCGAUCGCGGCAGCUGCGACAGUCGAAGAGGUCCUGACUGGAGGGAGAUUGAUAGCGGCUUUGAAAGGUCUGGCUUCAUCGUCGGACGCUUCAUCCAAGAAGUCGAGGUCGAGUUCGAAAAACUUUUCGACCACCUUCUUCUGGCAAAGCUCGAAGCCUUUGAUGAAGGUGGCCUGGCCGAACUGGACUUUCAGAUCCCUC
rnacentral:lncRNA from 1 species